rnacentral:tRNA from 1 species
CUCUCCGUAGUACAAUGGAUAGUACAAGCGCCUCCUAAGCGUUAGAUACAGGUUCGAUUCCUGUCGGAGGGACCA